UACGGAAGGUGCGAGCGUUAUCCGGAUUUAUUGGGUUUAAAGGGAGCGUAGGCGGAGCGCCAAGUCAGCUGUGAAAUCCUGCGGCUCAACCGUGGGCCUGCAGUUGAAACUGGCGUUCUUGAGUGCACAUGAGGAUGGUGGAAUUCGUGGUGUAGCGGUGAAAUGCUUAGAUAUCACGAAGAACUCCGAUUGCGAAGGCAGCUGUCUGGGGUGCUACUGACGCUGAGGCUCGAAAGUGCGGGUAUCAAAC
rnacentral:rRNA from 1 species